ACAUCUCAUCUUCCCAUCCCACCUAUAUUCUUGAUCCAGUCGUAGCCGUCGGAAUAGAGCUUCGACGCGCGACCUCAUCCUGCCAAGAUGGGCCUCGCACCUCGAUGCUGCGCCUGGACGACAGCGCUUGGCUGACGCCUCGUAUCGGCUUUGCCCCUCAGUCGUGCAGCCCGUCGUCCAGCCCCUGAGGCACUCCUCCCUUUGCCCUGGCAUGAAGAACGCCGAUCUGUAGAUCCCGGUUGGCGUGACUGCGACAAGAGAAAAUAAGAGGGGCUCCUUGCGGCUGGGCUCUACUUGCCUCUACCAAAAUAUUUUCUUUGCUCAUGUCCCCGUGCACUCUCAAUCAUGCCGAAACAUCACUAGCGCGGUAGGAAGCUUGUGGGAUUUCAUUGCAAUGCGCAAGCUGAACUGCUCUAGCAUUGGCGUCAAUGUUCUCGUCAGCAAGAACUGAACGCAAGAUUAGUUAGCAUCCAUGCAUCAGAGGGAGUAUUCCACAUGCAAGUAACACUAAUGGCCAUAGUUAGUGAUCAUAUCUGAUCUGGCAAAGGUACCCAUUCAUCAUUUGUUUGUGAGACCAUAUAACUGAAGUGAGACUUUUACCAUUGAUUUGUUGGAGAUGCUUUAUGAUAUGUCGUGCUUCACAACUGAAACAUACUUCACAGCCUCCUUCUCCUGCCCGUAGGCAAGCCGUAUCUACACAGAAGGGGCUCGCACUAGAGUACUGGAGCUGCGACGUCCUGGCCACUCAUGCUUGCAGCUGCCACCGCAAUCUAUGCAUAUGCAUUGAGCAUCAAACAUAUAAUCCUGGUCUUGGCACGACCGCCUAAUGUGAGCUUGGCACAACCAAUGUUGGCAAGGCACGCGAUGAAUGUCAAUUCCCCAGUGCAUGCUUGACGAUACUUUUGAUCUGUAUGUUUGUCGUGCUUAUGGCGAUCUCCUGGUCUCCGCCCGCCUGCCUCUAUCCUUUCUAUGGGUGUGAUGCGAUGGUGAAACUCCCUGGUCCUCACAAGGAGAUAGCCCAUUGGACCAUGGAAGUGAGGUUCCAGUUAAGUCUAUAAGUCGAGGCUACCUGCAUCUAAUUUUGGUUUUCUGUUCAACCCUAAUAGGAAAGAUGAGCUUGCUUGGAAUAAGACUCCAUGGGAAGGGCAUCAACUUGAAUGGUUUGGACGUCAAAUAACUAGAAUUUGGUCAUUUCAUGCACAUAUUGUGCUUAUGAUUUUACUGUUUUUCUGUGUAAUGAGCAUUGCUCUGUAAGCUACAUAAAGUCUUAUUUUUUAUCUAUAUUCGCAUACUACUAUGUUGCAAACUUGUA